rnacentral:rRNA from 1 species
UACGUAGGUGGCAAGCGUUUGUCCGGAAUUAUUGGGCGUAAAGCGCGCGCAGGUGGUCCUUUAAGUCUGAUGUGAAAGCCCACGGCUCAACCGUGGAGGGUCAUUGGAAACUGGGGGACUUGAGUGCAGAAGAGGAUAGUGGAAUUCCAAGUGUAGCGGUGAAAUGCGUAGAGAUUUGGAGGAACACCAGUGGCGAAGGCGACUAUCUGGACGGUAACUGACGCUGAGACGCGAAAGCGUGGGGAGCAAACAGG